rnacentral:rRNA from 1 species
CCUACGGGUGGCUGCAGUAGGGAAUAUUGCGCAAUGGGCGAAAGCCUGACGCAGCGACGCCGCGUGGGUGAUGAAGGCCUUCGGGUUGUAAAACCCUGUCCUUGGGGAAGAAGGAAGUGACGGUACCCAAGGAGGAAGCCCCGGCUAACUACGUGCCAGCAGCCGCGGUAAAACGUAGGGGGCGAGCGUUGUCCGGAAUUACUGGGCGUAAAGGGUGCGUAGGCGGCCUUUUAAGUCAGAUGUGAAAGACCACGGCUUAACCGUUAAUGUGCAUUAGAAACUGCGGCUCUUGAGGGCCGGAGGGGUAAACGGAAUUCCCGGUGUAGCGGUAAAAUGCGUAGAUAUCGGGAGGAACACCAGUGGCGAAGGCGGUUUACUGGACGGCAACUGACGCUGAGACACGAAAGCGUGGGGAGCAAACGGGAUUAGAUACCCCGGUAGUC